AUGCCAUGGUGUGGGCAUGCUGUGAUGUAUUCUUGAAGACAUUCCCAGGCUUUAGGGAUGGUUUCAUCCCGGAGUUGUUGAAAACUUGAAAUCCUGUUCCGAAGGGC